GGGGAGAUAGCUCAGUUGGUAGAGUGCUUGCCUCACAUGCAUAAGGCGCUGGGUUCAAUCCCCAGCACCA
rnacentral:tRNA from 1 species